rnacentral:rRNA from 1 species
AUUGAACGCUGGCGGCAUGCCUUACACAUGCAAGUCGAACGGCAGCACGGGGGCAACCCUGGUGGCGAGUGGCGAACGGGUGAGUAAUAUAUCGGAACGUACCCUGGAGUGGGGGAUAACGUAGCGAAAGUUACGCUAAUACCGCAUACGAUCUAAGGAUGAAAGUGGGGGAUCGCAAGACCUCAUGCUCCUGGAGCGGCCGAUAUCUGAUUAGCUAGUUGGUGGGGUAAAGGCCUACCAAGGCAUCGAUCAGUAGCUGGUCUGAGAGGACGACCAGCCACACUGGGACUGAGACACGGCCCAGACUCCUACGGGAGGCAGCAGUGGGGAAUUUUGGACAAUGGGGGGCAACCCUGAUCCAGCAAUGCCGCGUGAGUGAAGAAGGCC